GACGCCGUUUUGAUCACUGUCUCCAGCCUGCUGAAGCUCAGAGGGCUCUGAUUCAGAAAGAUCAUCGGAUCCGUCUGAGCUUGGCUGGUCGGAAGUCUCAUCAUCUGCCUCCCUCG
rnacentral:pre_miRNA from 14 species